rnacentral:rRNA from 1 species
GAUGAACGCUGGCGGCGUGCCUAAUACAUGCAAGUCGAGCGAACGGACGAGAAGCUUGCUUUUCUGAUGUUAGCGGCGGACGGGUGAGUAACACGUGGAUAACCUACCUAUAAGACUGGGAUAACUUCGGGAAACCGGAGCUAAUACCGGAUAAUAUUUUGAACCGCAUGGUUCAAAAGUGAAAGACGGUCUUGCUGUCACUUAUAGAUGGAUCCGCGCUGCAUUAGCUAGUUGGUAAGGUAACGGCCUACCAAGGCAACGAUGCAUAGCCGACCUGAGAGGUGGAUCGCCGACACGGGAACGGAACCACGCACCCUGCUCCUACGGGAGGCAGCAGUAGGGAAUCUUCCGCAAUGGGCGAAAACCUUGCGGAGCAACGCCGCGCGAGUGAUGAAGGUCUUCGGAUCGUAAAGCUCGGUUAUUGGGGGAGAACAUAUGUGUAAGUGACAGUGCCCAUCCUGACGGUACCUACUCAGAAAGCCACGGCUAACUACGUG